rnacentral:lncRNA from 1 species
AACAGGAAUUUUAAGAGUAAAUUAAUUUUGCUACAAGGUGUUAUUAAGACCAGGUGAGGAUGGCCUUGAAUCACAAUGGCUCCUCUCCGCCAGCAAGAGCACCAUGGCUCCCAGGGGCUUGCCAGAGCUUCUCCCAGAAGGAAACACCCCAGAUUUACGAUCAUCCCUAACAAUUCUCACAGGAAAGGAACACAUCUGAGGAAGGCGAUGCUACGCCACCCUGAGUGGUGGGACCUCUCGUGCGCUUCCGCUCCCCAUUCACCACACCUGAUUCCCCUCUUGCCUAUUCUGACAGCCUCUCAAAUGUGAGUAAGGGAGGCACAGUUUCUAGGUGAAGGUGGAAUGGCAAAUUCUGUGACCCAGCUGACGGUAAAAAUUUCAUCCUGAGUUUUCCAGACAGUCCUCUAGGUAAACUAUCAUUUGGAAGAAAGUAGAUCAUUAAAUUCCCCAGUUUGGAAACUGCGAUUGUACUAUUCAAAUGAGUCAGGUAUGUGGUGGGCGUUGGUGGGAGGACCUUCCAAGAUUUUGAUACAUGAAGUAACUGAUUUACCUGAUAACUCACACGCCUUAGAAAUGAGCAGUUGAGCUCUCUGCCAAAUUUCAGUUCUAAAUCAAGAUCCAGUGAUUCAAUUGUGCAUUUAUAAAAGUGGAGGGAGACAGCAUGAUACACUGGAGCCUGUUUAUUGCCAUGGACGUUAAGACGCGAGAGGGAACAGGAAGAGAAAGAAAAAGCCAUCAGAUCCUGGGAAGCAUUCAAGCCAGAAGCUCCACUGAAUAUGCUUUCUAUAAGAAAAAAAAAAUUCAUAGUAAAAAACAAAAACAAAAGAAACCAAUCUAAAUCUUCUAAAUCACCUCCUAUUUGUUCAAGUGUCCUUUCUUCCACUUAUGCCAAAGAGCGUUGCCUCCUAAAUUCUGACGCCACCCUCCAGACUUUGAGGAGGAUAUUCUUGAAAGUUUUAGCCAAUGUUUCCAAGGAAUAAUGUCAGGUUGGCUGCCUCAAAGUCUCCUCAGGAACUUUGGAAAAAUAGAGAUUCUAGAGUCCUGUCCCAAAAAUCCCUAUUCCGUGUGCUGUAGGUAGGGCCCAGGAGUCUGUAAUUAAAAACAGACUUGCCCCACUGACUAUGAUAACCAGCCAGGCUGAAGAAUCACUACUCCAGACUUCUUAAUGAAUAGUACCAACAGGUAAUUUUAGGUUAUGUGUGUAAUAAAACAGAUCAAGUUAAUAAAGUUAGAAAUGCU